GAUGAACGCUGACAGAAUGCUUAACACAUGCAAGUCAACUUGAACUUCGGUUUGGGUGGCGGACGGGUGAGUCACGCGUAAAGAACUUGCCUCACAGCUAGGGACAACAUUUGGAAACGAAUGCUAAUACCUGAUAUUAUGAUUAUAUGGCAUCGUAUAAUUAUGAAAGCUAUAUGCGCUGUGAGAGAGCUUUGCGUCCCAUUAGCUAGUUGGAGAGGUAACAGCUCACCAAGGCGAUGACGGGUAGCCGGCCUGAGAGGGUGAUCGGCCACAAGGGGACUGAGACACGGCCCUUACUCCUACGGGAGGCAGCAGUGGGGAAUAUUGGACAAUGGACCGAGAGUCUGAUCCAGCAAUUCUGUGUGCACGAUGAAGUUUUUCGGAAUGUAAAGUGCUUUCAGUUGGGAAGAAAAAAAUGACGGUACCAACAGAAGAAGUGACGGCUAAAUACGUG
rnacentral:rRNA from 1 species